rnacentral:tRNA from 1 species
AGCUAAUAAGCUUAAAGCAUAUGUUUUGAAAACAUAGUAUAGAAGUUAAAUAACCUUCUAUUAGCUU